rnacentral:rRNA from 1 species
UCGGAUCGCAGGCUGCAACCCGCCUGCGUGAAGUUGGAAUCGCUAGUAAUCGCGGAUCAGCAUGCCGCGGUGAAUACGUUCCCGGGCCUUGUACACACCGCCCGUCACACCAUGAGAGUCGGGAACACCCGAAGUCCGUAGCCUAACCGCAAGGGGGCGCGGCCGAAGGUGGGUUCGAUAAUUGGGGCGAAGUCGUAACAAGGUAGC